UACGUAGGGGCAAGCGUUGUCCGGAUUCAUUGGGCGUAAAGAGCGUGUAGGCGGCCAGGUAGGUCGGUUGUGAAAACUGGAGGCUCAACCUUCAGAGGUCGACCGAAACCAUCUGGCUAGAGUCCGGGAGAGGAGAGUGGAAUUCCUGGUGUAGCGGUGAAAUGCGCAGAUAUCAGGAAGAACACCCGUGGCGAAAGCGGCUCUCUGGAACGGUACUGACGCUGAGACGCGAAAAGCGUGGGGAGCGAACAGGG
rnacentral:rRNA from 1 species